UACGUAGGGUGCAAGCGUUGCCCGGAUUUAUUGGGCGUAAAGAGCUCGUAGGCGGUCUGUCGCGUCGGAUGUGAAAAUCCAGGGCUCAACCCUGGACCUGCAUUCGAUACGGGCAGACUAGAGUUCGGCAGGGGAGACUGGAAUUCCUGGUGUAGCGGUGAAAUGCGCAGAUAUCAGGAGGAACACCGGUGGCGAAGGCGGGUCUCUGGGCCGAAACUGACGCUGAGGAGCGAAAGCGUGGGGAGCAAACAGG
rnacentral:rRNA from 1 species